CUUCGUCACAUGUGGAUGCUCAGCCGGAGGUGGUCCGGUGGAGGCCCCUGAGGUCAGAGAAGCGCAUUUCGGCCUCGAAGGAGAACCUCUCCUGCUCCGGACCGAUUUGAGGACGUCCCUGGAUUAUGUGAUUCACAGCAGGUCUGCAGUCUUGCCUGGCCUCUGGCAGCAGAGAGAGCACGUGUUGCAGGUUCCCUGGAAGCUUCUGAGACUAAGACAACGAAAGCUUUGAGGCGCCGUUCACACCACGAAGUCGGAGUGGUACUUAAUCUGCUAGACAGUGACUGUCAUCACUGAGAGUCUCUGGCCCUGGGUAACGUGCUGCUGGUAUUUUAAGAAACAUUCCUGUACUUCCUCUUUUCACUUCGCUAUCACAGCCGGCCACACUCAGAGGCACCUUGCUCUACUCACUGCCCAGGGCCGGGACCGGCCAGUCCGUCCGUCCCAGAGCAUCCCAGAGCAUCCCAGAGCAUCCCAGAGCACGCGCCGAUGCUCCUGUGGGCAUCUCUGCUGGUCCUGGCUCCAGUCUGUGGACAGCUUGAAGCUGCAUCCAAACCCGUGAUUUCGCUCCAUCCUCCAUGGACCGUCGCCUUCAGAGGAGAGACAGUGACCCUGACUUGCAAUGUAUUUCACUCCCACGCUCCAGAGAAAAUAAAACGGUUCCUUUGGUACCUUGGGAGGAGAAUGCUACGCGAAACCCCAGGCAACACCCUGGAGGUCCGUGACUCCGGACAGUACAGAUGCCAGACCCAGGACUCGCUCCCAAGUGACCAAGUGAACAUGAUCUUUUCUUCAGGCUGGCUGGUGCUCCAGGCUCCACAUGGCGUGUUUGAAGGUGACACACUGGUCCUGAGGUGCCAGACGAGGAGUCGAGAGACACUGACCUCUGUGAAGUACAUUUGGAACGGAAAAGUCAUCUCCGCCUCCAAUCAGAGCCAGGACCUUUCGAUACCACGAGCAAGUUCAAACAACAGUGGCUUCUACCACUGCACUGGGCGUGUGGACAAAAUGCACACAUGGAGGUCAAAUACCAAGUCUGUUCAAAUUCAAGAACUGUUUCCACACCCGAAGCUGAAAGUCACCCCCUCCCAGCCCACAGAGGGCAGCUCUGUGAACCUGAGCUGCGAAACUCAGCUGCCUCCAGAGCGGCCGGACACUGUGCUUCAUUUCACCUUCUUCAGGGACCACAGGGUCGUGCUGUCAGACUGGAGCCGGUCCCCGGAACUGCAGAUCACAGCCAUCUGGAGACAAGACGCGGGGUCAUACACGUGCGGGGCUGCUGCGGCCCAGGGCGUCCACAAGCUCAGCCUCCCGGUGCACGUCUACGUGCAGGGGGUCCCGGUGUCCGGAGUGCUCCUGGAGACCCAGCCCCCGGAGGGCCGGGCACUUGCGGGGGAGCCUCUGGUCCUCAUCUGCUCCGCGGCCGAAGGCACAGGAGACACCACGUUCUCCUGGCACCGGGAGGACACGGGGGAGAGUCUGGGGAGGAAACGUUGGCGUUCCCAGAGGGCGCAGCUGGAGAUCCCUGCGGUCGGCAGGAGCCACGCGGGGGGCUACUUCUGCACGGCCGACAACGGCCACGGCCUCGCCUGCAGCGCGGUCCUGAACGUCACUGUCACAGGCACUCCAGGGAACAGAAUGGGCCUCAUUGCUGCGGGAGCCACUGGGGGGCUGCUCAGCGUUCUUGUCCUGGCUACAGGCCUGCUGAUUUACCGCCGGCACCAGAGGAAGUCAGGAGAUGGUUCUCCAGGAAACACAACCAGGAGCUCUCCCGCCACAGGCCCAGGACAGGCCCCCCAUGGCAGGUGCCAGGGACAGAAAGACAGCCCAGUGGAGCUCCAGCAUUUGUACGGCAAUGGGAGUCUCGGAGAGGGACACUUGGUAUAUUCUGAGAUCCAGACUAUUCGACCGGGGCAAGAAGGGGAAGGUAAGUCACUGGGGAAGAUCCUGGUUGCAAACUAUACUCCUUCAUUCAACACGUGUUUACUGAGUACCCCCUACGUGCUAGGCGCCGCAGUGAGUACACGGAGUCGAUCGGCAGACAAGGCAGGUGGAAAUCCCUGUAGGCGGAGCUUAGAUUCCAAAGAGAGAAGACAGACUCCAAAAGAUGCUUCCGUGUAUCUCCUGACGAUCAGAUCCUUCUGAUCGAUAUUGUGACCGUGAAGGCGGACGUCUGAAAAUUUCCCUGAAGUAAUGAAUUAAGUAUUUAAGUAAUGAGGUUUACAAGCCACCUGCUAUGUGGUGAGAACGUGUGUAGAUACACGUUCACAUAACGUAUAUAAAUAUAGACACAUAUGUUCGGUUCAUUCAUCUAAACAGCCCCAUGUAGCCAAUAUACGGAACAAGCGAGACUGAGGCCUUAAUUACAAAAAUGUGUUUCCCCACUGUUUCUUGAAACUUUGCUCUGCGGGAGAUCUUCCCACACGCUCAGGGUGAACAUUUUGGCAGCAAAGGCUUUUCAGUACACUCUCCAUUCUCGUAGGUAACAGACAGCAGGUGGACACGGCAUGUCACAGUGUCAAGUCAGCAGCUAGAAUAUCCAGUUCAAGAUGUUCAUCAAAGCUUAGCCCUCCACUAGUUCAGGCAAACUUCAGAACGGGAGCUGGUGGCGGUGAGAGGGCAGGGUGGAGUUGGCCUCUCUGUUUCUGUGGCUGGUCUCCCUUCAGCAUCCUGGAGGGUGCUGGGGACCUGGGUGGGAAAGGACUCGCCCGGCUGGUGCUUGGGAGCUGGCGUCCACCUGUCUGGCAACAGGUGCAGAAGAAGGCCGUUCCUUGAGAGGUGAGUGAGUGCUGUCUUCUGACUUCCCGCCUGACACUCUUUCCUGCCGCUCCUUGGUACAGCGGCCGUCUCUAAUCCAGUUUUUGUGACCCUUCAGUGGCCUCAUCCCCACCUGUUCGCAUCCAGCUUCCCACCGUUGGAGUCCUUUGGGAGCCGUGGGCCCUACUGGGCUGGGGCUCCAUGGCUGCACUCCCAUCUUCUGUCCAAGCUGGACACAUCCGUCCAUGGGGACACGUAAGGAUAGGUGACAGAUAGUCAAUUAAUUUUAACAAGUGUAUCCAGUCCCAGACCCACCACCACCAUCAGGACAUAGAACACUCCCAACACCCCUCCUGCCCCUUUGCAGAUAACUUUUCCAGCUCCGCCCCAGCCACCAAUGGCCCACUUUCUGUCCCUGGAGUUUUGCUUUUCUAUAAUUUCAUGUAAAUGAAAUCAUAUGCAAUGUAGUCUCUUUGUCUGGCCUCUUUCCCAUAACAUAAUGUUUUGCAACUCAUCCGUAUUCUAGCAUAUUCUAAGUAGUUCACUGCUACUUUUUUUGAUGUGGAAAAAGCUGUACAUAUUUAAUGUAUACAACUGGACGAUUUGAGGAUAAGUAUAUGCCAGCGAAGCCAUCACCAUCCUCAAGGCCAAAAGCAUGGGUAGUGUCUCCUAAAAUUUUAUUCCACCCAUUCUUAUUUUUUAUUAUGAUCAUUACUAUCAUCAUCAUGAUUAUUAUGUGUGUGUGUGGUUAGGACACUUAACACAGAUCUACCCUCUUAGCAAAUCGUAAGUGUGCAAUACACUAUCGCCAGCUACAGGCACAGUGCUCCCUAGUGGAUCCACAGAACUCAUCCUAUGUAACUUAAACCCUGUACCCUUUGACCAUUCCUUCUGUUCCCCCUCCCACAGCCCCUGGGUACCACUAUCCUACCGUCUGUUUCUAUGAGCUUGACUAUUUCAGAUUCUGCACAUAAAGUGAGCACGUGCAGGAUUUUUCUUUCUGUGUCUGGCUUUGUUUACUUAGCCCAGCAACGUCCAGGUCCACCCAUGGUGUCAAAAUGUCAGGAUUUCCUUCUUUGUUACGGACGAAUUAUAUUCCAGUGUGUGUGUGUGUGUGUGUGUGUGUGUGUGUGUGUGACAUAUUCUUUACCUAUUCAUCUGUUCGGGGACGCUUAGGUGGUUCCCAUGUCUUGACUACCGUGAAUAAUGCUGUAGCAAACACGGGGUGUAGCUAUCUCUUCAGGAUCCUGAUUUUUAAUUCCUUUGGGUGCAAACCCAGAAAUGGGAUUGUUGGAUCAUAUGGUAGUUCUAUUUGUAAUUUUUUGAGGACCCUCCAUAUUGUCUUCCACGGUGGCUGCACCAACUUACAUCUCCACCAACAGGGCACAAGGGCUACCUUUCCUCCUCUUCCUCCCCAACACUUGUUAGCUCUUGCCCUUGUAAUGACAGCCAUCCUAACGGGUGUGAGGUGACAUCUCAUGGUGGCUUUUAUUUGUAUGUCUCUAAUGAUCAGUGAUGUUGCCAUAGUACCUCUGCUGGCCAUCUGUCUUUGGAGAAAUGUAUAUUCAGGUCUUUUGCCCGUUUUUAGUUAAGGCAGUAGUGGGAGGAUUCUGGCUAUUGAGUUCCCUGUGUUCCUUAUAUAUUUUGGAUAUUAACCCCUUAUCAGGUAUAUAGCGAGCACAUAUUUUCUCCCACUUCAUAGGUGGCUUUUCCAAAUACAGCAGCUCACUUGCAAAUUAAAAUCCCCUAUAUCUUCGUAGUAGAAAUCUCCACUGUAGUAUAAUCUUGCACUUGUGUUACAAAUGGCAUUAGGGCCUUCCCAAGAUCACAAAUCCAGCAAAAGACGAACCGAAGACCAAGUCUUCUGUCUUGCUGCAAGAUCUCCUGCUUAUAGAGCCUAUCACCGUCCUUGACCAACACUGACCACCUGCCUUGUCCGUCACUUGGCUUUCUCAGCCACCCCCAUGAGUCAGGACCCUUUGAGUGGCAGAAUCAGAACUGCCUCCAAGUUGUUGGGGUUAAUUGAAGGCGUCUUCUAGAAUUACCUUGAUCAUGUACUGUUGUUCACACUCUUUAACGGAUUUGUCAGAACACCACUGAAGCUGAGCACUGUGUUGGUGGACAACUUCUAUCUCAGGCACUUUAUUUACUAAUGAUCUGUAGCAAGACUUCUUCCCCAGUUCCCUGAGGUUUGCAGGUAACCCCUAAAAUUGUACACAUAGUUCGACACGUAUGACUAUAAUUCUGGGAAGAGAGAACCUAGGUUCUAUCACAUCGUUAAGAAGAUCUGUAACCCUGAAAGGUCGAUGGUAAGAACACAGUGAUAAAGAGAAGCCUCAAUUGUCCCAGAAGCAUUUUUUAUUAGGCUCUGUCUCCAUACAUCACUAUGUGGCUAUGAUGCUUCCAUCCAGUUCUCUGAGACUCUUAAUUCCCAACACGUAGGAUCUGGCAAAUCCCAUCAGCUAAACCUCCCUCUCACUGCAGCUCCCUUUCUGGAGAACUGUGGAGAUAAAGCUAAGAACGAGAACCCGUUAAUGUGACAGAGGGUUUUCCCGUGGGCACGCACGUGAAGCACUCUCAUGGGAACCCGCCGAGCAGUCGGGGGUACUCUGAGGUUGGAGUCAGGAGGAGGUGCUGUUAGCUAAGAGAGGCAAAGAUUAAAGCAGAGAGAAAUUCUGUGUUGACACGUGGUAAAGGCAGGAAGCAAGGUUUCUUGGCGUGGUCGUGAGGAAGGACCUUACAGAUCAAUGGAGAUUACAGACAGCUUGCAGAGGGCUGGGCUACGAAACGGUAAGACAGAAAACCACCUGUGCUGCGGGGCACAUUGGAGGUCGGGGGUGGGGGGGGGAGCAGAAGCACCGGUGCAAAGGGUUCAGUGGCUCCCAGCCUCUGGGGGGAAAGCUCGCAGCCUGGGUUGAGCGGGUCGGGAUGCCCGUAGUUCAGUGAGUGCCUUUCCCUCCACAGCCAGUGCCUCCGGAGCGUCCCUAGAGGACAAGCAUGCCGCCGUUAUCUACUCCUCGGUGAAGACACAGCUCCAAGGGGACUCUGCCGGAAAGGUCAGGUCUCAGCAUGGAGAUGCCACGGACAGUUACGAGAAUGUCCCACCUGCAUGA